UACCAGCACCCCGAGUGGUCGGGACGUUUAUUGGGCCUAAAGCAUCCGUAGCCGGUUCUACGAGUCUUCCGUUAAAUCCAACUGCUUAACAGGUGGGCUGCGGAAGAUACUAUAGAGCUAGGAGGCGGGAGAGGCAAGCGGUACUCGAUGGGUAGGGGUAAAAUCCGUUGAUCCAUUGAAGACCACCAGUGGCGAAGGCGGCUUGCCAGAACGCGCUCGACGGUGGGGGAUGAAAGCUGGGGGAGCAAACAGG
rnacentral:rRNA from 1 species